rnacentral:lncRNA from 1 species
AACUAAUUAAUUUCCAAUAGACGAGGUGGUUACUGUGACUUAUCUACCACUCCAUGCACACCGAGAAGGGCGAUGACAAGUGGCAAAGGUUAUUCCUUCUUUCUUUAUUCCGUGGGACAGCUGCGAUGCAAGGGCUUUGAGACGCCCCUCAGUCCCCUAGUCCUCCAGGUUCGAGUACAGCUGUGCAAGCGAUUCGCCCCUACGCCACAUGCCGGUGGGUCUAAAAGAAGGGGAACGGUUGGCAAAGUGGGUAGUGGCAGAACAUGCUUUGGAAGUAGGGAGGAACGUCAGCAUAGUUAUAUUAUUGUCGAUCCUGUCAUUAUUUGAAGGCUUCCUCAAUUUCUUGAGCAAGAAACGAGAAAAGUGAAAAAAUACGAGG